AGCAAUGCUUGGGAAUCUAGCUUAUGGAGGGGGAUAACUACGGGAAACUGUAGCUAAUACCGCGUAAUAUCGAAAGAUUAAAGUGUGGGACCUCCGGGCCACAUGCCAUAGGAUGAGCCCAAGUGGGAUUAGGUAGUUGGUGAGGUAAGGGCUCACCAAGCCGACGAUCUCUAGCUGGUCUGAGAGGAUGACCAGCCACACUGGGACUGAGACACGGCCCAG
rnacentral:rRNA from 1 species